AUUCUUUUAUACUCUAAAUUGUUCUCAUUCAUGGUUUUCUUUCAUUUGUGUGGCAUUGCCAUGGCCUCAGGUGUUGAGUUUUGGCUUUUGUGGGAUAUAUUUAUGUGGUUCAUAGCUGCUUUUUUAAUGUAAUAAUUGUAAGCAAUUCCACGAAUAUUCCUAUCACCCAAUGUUCCAAGGCACUUGAUAUAAGCUCAAGAAGUAAAGGACCAGAAAUCUUACAAAUAUCUAAAUAUAAAAGAGUUCUGAGAUACCCAAUCCUAAAUAUGUAUGAGAAAAAACAUCUUAAAAUAUGCAAAGCCAGAAGCUAGUCUUUAGAAAAUUCUUUCAGGAAUCACAUGUGAAAAAUUAUAAGCAGAAGAUUUGACUCUCUUUAAAGCAUGGUCAACCCAGAAGUUCUCUCCUGACAAGAAUAUUUAAAGAAGUGAUCAAAGAUUGUACAUCCAAACCUCUAGAGAAAAAUGUGUCUGAGUGGUUUAUCAGGAAAUUAACUAUUUAAAAAAUUGUGCCAUUUUUUUUCAUUUUUCUAGAUAUUUUCAAGUUUGUGGUGAAUCAUUAACUUUUUUAAAAAAUUCUAUUUUGUAGUUAUUUUUUCUCAUUCUAAAUGAAUAUUUUAAUAUGUGAUUUUAUACCUGUAAUUUUCUACUUUUUAAAAACAAUGAAAAUUUUAUCGAUAUUUGGUUUUCACAAGACCUGAAGCUACCUGCAUUUAUCCUAGUGUUUUUUUACACUUCACGGAAUGAGUAUUGACAUCAGCUGGUGGACAUGUCCUAGAGCUCCCAGCACUACCACUGUGUUGAUGAUUCCAGCUAGACAUUUCUCGUCUGAGCUUCUUAUAGGCUUUAAAUUCUGAUUAAGUCAAGAUUCUUCAUUACAUCAGUAAUUUGGAAAUGUAAAUUAUUUCAUAGAUGGCAAAAUAUGAAAACCCCUGGUAGUCAAGUUAUCGUCUCCAGCUCUACUGAAGUGUAUUGCAAUGAUCCAACAAGAUUUCUUGAAGUGUUUUAUUGUAUGGACUUUAGGAGGGAUCUUUUCUCUGUUGAGUCCAAAAGAAAAUUAAAUGACUACUUUAAGAUGAAUGACCCUGAAGAAAGAGGGGUAGGUUCUGAUUCCAAUAAUGAAAGAUGCCAUGUAGUGCCAGAGCACUUGGAUGUACAGCCCUGAAGAGUUGCAGGAUGCAAAGGAAAGAAGCAGUGCCUCUAGGGAAUUGUGACUGCUGGUGCAAGACCUGUGAAAUCAGGGGAAAUAAAAGGUACCUACUCUCAACAACUAUUUUUCCACUGUGGCAGAGCUGAAUAUGGGCACCAUUCUAUAAAUGUGUAUUACUGCAAUUGCCUGCUUAAGAAAUCUGGAGAAGCAAAAAAAAAAAAAAAAAAAAAGGCAUAAUUUAAUUAAAGGCCAGUAAAUUAAAUGAGGAAAUUAAGCAAGAAAUUAAUGGUGAAGAAAAUUUUAGGAAAGGUUUAGAUUGGCAGAAAUACCUAGAAUUACAUCUGGCUCCUAAUUAGGAGAAAUACUCUAUGCACCAUUUUAUUCAAUUGUGCCCCCUCUGCUGUGAACAUAUUUUCAUUCUCACUCAAAAAGAUAAUUCCAGGGAUGCCUGGGUGGCUCAGUUGGUUAAGCGUCUGUCUUCUGCUCAGGUCAUGAUCUCAGGGUGCUGGGAUCAAGUUCCACAUUGGGCUCCCUGCUCAGCGGGGAGUUUGCUUCUCCCUCUGGCUGCUCUGCCUGCUGCUCCCCUGCUUGUGCUCUGUCUCUGACAAAUAAAUAAAUAAAAUCUUUAAAAAAAAAAAAAAGAAAGAAAGAAAUUCCAGGGUACUGCCAAUAAUCCACCUUUCUUCAGUCACAUCAUUCACUUGUUACAAACGAAACAAAUUAAAAUAGUUAUUUAGAAGCAUAAAGCAUUAUGCAUCCCCGUUUUACAAUUGAUUAUAAUAAUGUCUUCCUAGCCAGAAGACAAGUACCCAGGAAAAUCAAUUUAUUGAGUUUCCCUCCAGUGCUAAGAUUUUUUUUUUUUUUUUUAACGUGACAUGUCAAUUUAUUGCUGUCUUACACUGGUAAGUUGUGAUUACCAAUGAUUGUGAUAGUUAAACUUCUCAAAGAUUUUUGGUGAAUGUAAUAAUAAAAUGACAAACUUUAGUUAUGAUUUACUGUGGUACUCAGCCAUGAGUCCUUGAGAACUGGGCCUGGAGGAUGACUUUAUUUCAGUACUCAGAAUCAUGCCUGAUCCCAAGAUAGGUCUUGAACUGAAACUACACCAUCAACCUUCUAGUAUUUCUUUACAAAGACCUUCCUUAGAACAGACUCUAGUUGAAUGCUUCCUAUCAAUUCCCUGGAAACGCUCAAACUUGGGGUAAAUUGUAAUAUGAACCCAGGUCAUCACAUGGAAAUACCUGACAUUUAGCUAACUUAAAUAGCCACAGUGUUAUGCUCAUGGAAACUCUUUAGGACUGUGUUCAGAAGUGGCAGGGGGCGGGGAUAAUUAGAGGAAUAUGCUUCUCAAAGGUAUGAAGGAGAUGAAUUGAACAACUCUUUUUUAAAGAGCAACAUUCUAAGAACAAAAACUACAUUUGAAGCUAAUAAAAGGUUAUAUCAUAUGUGAAUUAUUGAAAACACUUUUUGUUAGGAGGUAAUCAACUAGAAAUGGAUAUCCCAGGGAACAAUGGAAGCUAUGAAGCAUGAAUACAUAAAAAUCAAUAGGAAAAGAGAAAUCAUUAUAGGCUAAUACCUUUGCUACUAUGCAAUCAUGGAGAACUUUUUCAUUAUUUUCUUAAUAUUUAAAAAUAUUGCUUCAGUUUAAAAAAAAUAAUAAAAUAUAGGGGCAUCUAGGUGGUUCAGUUGGUUAAGCAUCUGACUCUAGGUGUGCCUAGGGGCUCAUUGGGUUAAGCCUCUGUCUUCAGCUCAGGUCAUGAUCUCAGUGUCCUGGGAUCGAGUCCCACAUCUGGCUCUCUGCUCAGCGGGGAGCCUGCUUCGCCCCUCUCUUUUUCUGCACCUGCCUCUGCCUACUUCUGAUCUGUCAUAAAUAAAUAAAAUCUUAAAAAAAAAAAAAAAAGCAUCCAACUCUUGGUUUGGGCUCUGGUCACGUUCUCAGGCCAUGAGAUUAAGUUCUGUGUCUGGCUCCAGCUGGGAGUUGGCCUGAGAUUCUCUCUUCCUCUCCCUCUGCCCCUACCCGCUGCUUUGCACACACACACACACACACACACACACACUCUCUCUCUCUCUCUCUCUCUCUCUCUCUGAAAUAAAUAAAUAAAUCUAAAUAUAUAUAUAUAUAUAUAUAUAUGCUUUAAAAAUAAAAUGUAUACUAUCACAUUUUUAUUUCCUAAAUUCAGUAUUUUUUCUGAAAUCUUUAGAGAGUAGCAGCAUCUCUCUAUGAAAGUUUUAAUUUAUUAUGUUUCUCCUUUAUUUCCUCCAUCCCCCUAAGAACCUUAUUUAAACCUUAUUAACAACUUUUUCUUCAAAAUAUUUAAUGCAAUCCAACUAACCCAGAUUCUAGUUCCUACCCACAAAUGUGAAUGGGAUGGGAUAUAGCUACUAUAAUUUUCAUUUCUUUAUUCUCUCCAAUCAGUAUUUUAUUUCACUCAUAAUUAUUACCUACUUUUUUAAAGAUUUUAUUUAUUUAUUUGAUAGAGAUCACAAGCAGGCAGAGAGGCAGGCAGAGAGAGAGGAGGAAGCAGGCUCCCUGCUGAACAGAAAGCCUGAAGCGGGGCUCAAUCCCAGGACCCUGAGACCAUGACCCGAGCCAAAGGCAGAGGCAUAAUCCACUGAGCCACCCAGGCACCCUGGUUCUCAACUUUUAAGUGCUCAUGUGAUUAGAAGAAGGGAUUGGGAGGGAGACAAACCAUAAGUGACUCUUAAUCUCACAAAACAAACUGAGGGUUGCUGGGGGGAGGGGGUUUGGGAGAAGGGGGUGGGAUUAUGGUCAUUGGGGAGGGUAUGUGCUUUGGUGAGUGCUGUGAAGUGUGUAAACCUGGUGAUUCGCAGACCUGUACCCCUGGGGAUAAAAAUAUAUGUUUAUAAAAAUAAAAAAUUUAAAAAAAAAAAGAUAUAGAGCCACCCAGAUAAUCCAGAGUAAUCUCCCAUAUAAAUGUUUUUAGCAUAAUUACAUUGGCAAAGUUCCUUUAUAGUGUGAGGUAAUAUACAUACAGCUCCCAGAAAUUAGGAUAUGGACAAAUUGGGGGUGGGGAGGCAUUAUUCUGCCUACAAAAAACUAAUUGAGUUUAAGUUGCCUUUGAUAUAGAUUUGUUUCUGAGUUUUGGUUUUUUUUUUUUUCUUUUUUCUUUUGUGGGGUUUGAUCCCAGGACCCGGGGAUCAUGACCUGAGCCCAAGGCAGAGGCUUUAACCCACUGAGACACCCAGGCACCCCAGUUUUGAGGUUUUUAAAACUAUAUUUAAAAAUAUCUGCUCCCUGUGUUGAAAAACAUACUGAGUUUCUUUCUAAGCAAAGUUUUCAGAAUAGCUUACUGGUGUCAUUUAAUUGAUUUUAAGCUUUGGGCAUGGGAAGAUUACCAGGAAGGAUGGAAAAUUCAUUUUUUGGAACCCACUAAAUAUUUUGAUUAGAGCUCAAAAGGAUGAAACCGUUGCCUUAACAAGUUUCAUGUAUGUAGACCAAAGAUCUUUAAUCAUAUUUCUUUCAGAUUUUUAAACAGAAUUUAAAUCAGUAUGUUUCCAAUAGUAAUUUUAAGACCCUAAAGAUCUCAUUUUUCUGUUGACCAUGUUGUGUCAAUAAAGGCUCUUAGGAAAUAACUUACUAUGGAAUGCUUAAUGCUAGAUUCAAACCUAAGCAAUUCAGGGAAGAAUUAGCAAUCAUGACCUUAAUUAUCUGAGGGCACAUGCUGACCAGAAUGAUGGUAACCUCUAUAAAGAUUUGACAAUUUAUCUUGAGAUGAAAGACUUAAUGAAGGAGUAGUAUUCAUCUUUGAAAUAAAUUUUUGUGGAUCUCUUAGUCAGUUAAAUUGUUUUUAUUUUUCAAACAAGUUGUUAUUUGUGAAUAAAAACAUAUUUCUUAUCAAAAUAUGGAUAACAAGAGUAUUAAAUAUAAUAUCGGUGGGAAGAAAUGUUAUCUCUAAUAGUGACCUCACGGAAAAACACAUUAUGUUGUAAAUAUCACUUGAGAAGUAAAACAGAUAUGCGUAUUCAAAAGAAGUUUAAAGUUUACACAUUUAAAUAAAGUUCAAUUUCU
rnacentral:lncRNA from 1 species